GGGGAAUUUUCCGCAAUGGGCGAAAGCCUGACGGAGCAAUACCGCGUGAGGGAAGAAGGCUCUUGGGUCGUAAACCUCUUUUAUCAGGGAAGAAAAAAAUGACGGUACCUGAAGAAUCAGCCUCGGCUAACUCCGUGCCAGCAGCCGCGGUAAUACGGAGGAGGCAAGCGCUAUCCGGAAUUAUUGGGCGUAAAGCGUCCGCAGGUGGCUUAUCAAGUCUGCUGUCAAAGAGUGGGGCUUAACCCCAUUAAGGCAGUGGAAACUGAGAAGCUAGAGUGCCGUAGGGGUAGAGGGAAUUCCCGGUGUAGCGGUGAAAUGCGUAGAGAUCGGGAAGAACAUCGGUGGCGAAAGCGCUCUACUGGACGGCAACUGACACUCAGGGACGAAAGCUAGGGGAGCGAAUGGGAUUAGAUACCCCAGUAGUCCUAGCCGUAAACGAUGGAUACUAGGUGUGGCUUGUAUCGACCCGAGCCGUGCCGUAGCUAACGCGUUAAGUAUCCCGCCUGGGGAGUACGCACGCAAGUGUGAAACUCAAAGGAAUUGACGGGGGCCCGCACAAGCGGUGGAGUAUGUGGUUUAAUUCGAUGCAACGCGAAGAACCUUACCAGGGCUUGACAUGUCCGGAACCUCAGGGAAACUUGGGGGUGCCUUCGGGAGCCGGAACACAGGUGGUGCAUGGCUGUCGUCAGCUCGUGUCGUGAGAUGUUGGGUUAAGUCCCGCAACGAGCGCAACCCUCGUCCUUAGUUGCCAGCAUUAAGUUGGGCACUCUAGGGAGACUGCCGGUGACAAACCGGAGGAAGGUGGGGAUGACGUCAAGUCAGCAUGCCCCUUACGCCCUGGGCUACACACGUACUACAAUGCUACGGACAAAGGGCAGCAAGACAGCGAUGUCAAGCUAAUCCCAGAAACCGUGGCUCAGUUCAGAUUGCAGGCUGCAACUCGCCUGCAUGAAGGAGGAAUCGCUAGUAAUUGCAGGUCAGCAUACUGCAGUGAAUCCGUUCCCGGGCCUUGUACACACCGCCCGUCACACCAUGGAAGUUGGCCACGCCCGAAGUCGUUACCCUAACCUGUUAAAGGAGGGGGAUGCCGAAGGCAGGGCUGAUGACUGGGGUGAAGUCGUAACAAGGUAGCCGUACCGGAAGGUGUGGCUGGAUCACCUCCUUU
rnacentral:rRNA from 1 species